CGACUAUACGAGAAUACGACCGCCCGCGUUAUAAUAUGCCACAGCGCACGUUGUUUAUAUAUUUUUCAAGUAAAUAUCAACGCCUCGAGGUCAUAAAUACAGUACAGAUUCAGAUAAUGCAUUAAAAUACAAGAGGAAUCUCAAGACAAGACACAAUGAGCGAAAUAAAAGAUGAUAUCAUCGAUGAAGUAGAUUCUGAAUGCAAUCGGGAAGCACUUGCUAUGAGAAAUAAAAAUAUGUGAGAAGAAAACAUGUCCUGGUCAAUGUCCUGUUGUCCCGGUAAGGAGAACUUUCCGAUUCAGCAAUGAAAGAGAAAGAAAAUGGAACGGUGGACAUUCAAACAGUGAAUCAAAAUUAUUUACUACUGCAAAAUGAAAAUGUAAAUAACCAACAAUUGUCUCCAGUUAAACAAAUAAUUUAGAACGAUAAUAAUUUGGUCGGCUUAUAGUCUGUUCCACGAAGGAAGAAACUCAUCUCGCUAAGUAACUGUCAGCGUUUAACGACCUGGCACUAUCUCCUUCUCUCAAACAUUCUGGGCAGAAGCGUUGUAUAGCACUACAACUAUAAACUAUGUAUGGUUAGGGUAAACAGUGACGUUAAACGCCAUCAGUUACAUUGUGAAAUGAGUUCCUUCUCUCACGGAACAGAUUAUAGUGAUGGAGUAUGUCAAGACCAGAGUAACAUCGCCGAACAACAACAUUCCGUUAAAUAAUGUGAUAAAUAAUUUAUUAGAACGAUGGCCAGAGUAUGUUGAAUGUACAGACUAUGUGCCACAAAAAAAACUAUUGCAUAUUAAGAUUAACUGGUAUUUGAAAUUUACAAUUUUGGAAGAAGAUAACAAUAUAUACAACUUGGACCUGUCCAUAAAAAUUAAUGAUAGAAAUGUCGAUUUCAUCAUUAAUUUGUUAAAUGCACGGAUUGUAACAAAACCAAUAUGGGCAAUUAUUAUAAAAGUAUACUUGAAUCACGAAUACAUUUUGAACCAUAA